rnacentral:rRNA from 1 species
UACGCAGGGUGCAAGCGUUGUCCGGAAUUAUUGGGCGUAAAGGGCGCGUAGGCGGCCGAUCAAGUCAGAUGUGAAAGUCCUGGGCUUAACCUGGGGACUGCAUUUGAUACUGAUUGGCUUGAAUGCAGGAGAGGAUAGCGGAAUUCCCAGUGUAGAGGUGAAAUUCGUAGAUAUUGGGAAGAACACCGGUGGCGAAGGCGGCUAUCUGGACUGUGAUUGACGCUGAGGCGCGAAAGCGUGGGGAGCAAACAGG